GGGCGCUUGGUUUAGUGGUGUAAUUCUCGCUUAGCAUGUGAGCGGUCCUGGGUUCGAUUCCCAGAGUGUCCA
rfam:Colletotrichum orbiculare MAFF 240422 contig00444, whole genome shotgun sequence.